GGAAGCGUGCCCGAGCCCAAGGGAUUACCUUGAUAGAGUAAACACGGAAUAAACCCCCACUUCCU
rnacentral:tRNA from 1 species